rnacentral:rRNA from 1 species
GACGAACGCUGGCGGUGUGCCUAAUACAUGCAAGUAGAACGCUGAAGAGAGGAGCUUGCUCUUCUUGGAUGAGUUGCGAACGGGUGAGUAACGCGUAGGUAACCUGCCUUGUAGCGGGGGAUAACUAUUGGAAACGAUAGCUAAUACCGCAUAACAAUAGGUGACACAUGUCAUUUAUUUGAAGGGGGCAAUUGCUCCACUACAAGAUGGACCUGCGUUGUAUUAGCUAGUAGGUGAGGUAACGGCUCACCUAGGCGACGAUACAUAGCCGACCUGAGAGGGGUGACGGCCACACUAGGACUUAGGCACGGCCCCGACCCCUACGGGAGGCAGCAGUAGGGAAGCUUCGGCAAUGGGGGCAACCCUGACCGAGCCACGCCGCGUGAGUGAAGAAGGUUUUCGGAUCGUAAAGCUCUGUUGUAAGUCAAGAACGAGUGUUAGAGUGGAAAGUUCACACUGUGACGGUAGCUUACCAGAAAGGGACGGCUAACUACGUG